GACGAACGCUGGCGGCGUGCUUAACACAUGCAAGUCGAACGGAAAGGCCCUGCUUGCAGGGUGCUCGAGUGGCGAACGGGUGAGUAACACGUGGGUGAUCUGCCCCUUACUUUGGGAUAAGCCUGGGAAACUGGGUCUAAUACUGGAUAGGACCAUGCUGUAGGUGGUGUGGUGGAAAGAUUAGUUUCGGUAAGGGAUGAGCUCGCGGCCUAUCAGCUUGUUGGUGGGGUAAUGGCCUACCAAGGCGUCGACGGGUAGCCGGCCUGAGAGGGUGGACGGCCACAUUGGGACUGAGAUACGGCCCAGACUCCUACGGGAGGCAGCAGUGGGGAAUAUUGCACAAUGGGGGCAAGCCUGAUGCAGCGACGCCGCGUGGGGGAUGACGGCCUUCGGGUUGUAAACUCCUUUCAGCCAUGACGAAGCCCUUGUGGUGACGGUAGUGGUAGAAGAAGCACCGGCUAACUACGUG
rnacentral:rRNA from 1 species